rnacentral:rRNA from 1 species
CAGCCGCCACGGUAAUACAGAGGGUGCAAGCGUUAAUCGGAAUUACUGGGCGUAAAGCGCGCGUAGGUGGUUUGUUAAGUUGGAUGUGAAAUCCCCGGGCUCAACCUGGGAACUGCAUCCAAAACUGGCAAGCUAGAGUAUGGUAGAGGGUGGUGGAAUUUCCUGUGUAGCGGUGAAAUGCGUAGAUAUAGGAAGGAACACCAGUGGCGAAGGCGACCACCUGGACUGAUACUGACACUGAGGUGCGAAAGCGUGGGGAGCAAACAGGAUUAGAUACCCCUGUAGUCCCUGUCUCUUAUAU